rnacentral:rRNA from 1 species
CACAUGCAGCCGAGCGGUAUAGAUUCUUCGGGAUCUAGAGAGCGGCGUACGGGUGCGGAACACGUGUGCAACCUGCCUUUAUCAGGGGGAUAGCCUUUCGAAAGGAAGAUUAAUACCCCAUAAUAUUUAGAAUGGCAUCAUUUUAAAUUGAAAACUCCGGUGGAUAGAGAUGGGCACGCGCAAGAUUAGAUAGUUGGUGAGGUAACGGCUCACCAAGUCUACGAUCUUUAGGGGGCCUGAGAGGGUGAUCCCCCACACUGGUACUGAGACACGGACCAGACUCCUACGGGAGGCAGCAGUGAGGAAUAUUGGACAAUGGGUGCGAGCCUGAUCCAGCCAUCCCGCGUGAAGGACGACGGCCCUAUGGGUUGUAAACUUCUUUUGUAUAGGGAUAAACCUAGAUACGUGUAUCUAGCUGAAGGUACUAUACGAAUAAGCACCGGCUAACUCCGUGCCAGCAGCCGCGGUAAUACGGAGGGUGCAAGCGUUAUCCGGAUUUAUUGGGUUUAAAGGGUCCGUAGGCGGAUCUGUAAGUCAGUGGUGAAAUCUCACAGCUUAACUGUGAAACUGCCAUUGAUACUGCAGGUCUUGAGUGUUGUUGAAGUAGCUGGAAUAAGUAGUGUAGCGGUGAAAUGCAUAGAUAUUACUUAGAACACCAAUUGCGAAGGCAGGUUACUAAGCAACAACUGACGCUGAUGGACGAAAGCGUGGGGAGCGAACAGGAUUAGAUACCCUGGUAGUCCACGCCGUAAACGAUGCUAACUCGUUUUUGGUAUUUCGGUAUCAGAGACUAAGCGAAAGUGAUAAGUUAGCCACCUGGGGAGUACGAACGCAAGUUUGAAACUCAAAGGAAUUGACGGGGGCCCGCACAAGCGGUGGAUUAUGUGGUUUAAUUCGAUGAUACGCGAGGAACCUUACCAAGGCUUAAAUGGGAAAUGACAGGUUUAGAAAUAGACUUUUCUUCGGACAUUUUUCAAGGUGCUGCAUGGUUGUCGUCAGCUC